AAAGGAAAGCUUAAUCAUGGUCAAACUUUUCGAGCGUAAUAUUUAGAAUCUACGUACCACGAACAAAGAGCAUCUCAUAAUGUUUGCGAAUCGUUUUUAAGGCCUUGUCCUUAUCGGUCUCUUCAUCAUCAAAAAUAGUUACAAUUUCUUCAGCAUCUCCUAGUACCAUAUUCUAAAAUACGUGUAAGUAAUCCAUCCAAAUGCGAGUUAUGAAUAUGAUUCAUACCAAAUGUUCAUCAUAGGCCUACAAUCGAGUUAGUAUAACCAAUUCAGAAUAAGAAAAAUAUU